UUCAGAUUAAUCUUGGAAUAUACAUGCAAGACAGUAUCUCAGAACUGUCAGUGUUGGUUGACCGUUCAGUUGGGGGAUCCAGUUUAGUGGAUGGUCAGAUAGAGCUUAUGCUCCACAGGAGAUUACUUCAUGAUGAUUCAAGAGGAGUUGGUGAGGUGUUGAAUGAAACAGUUUGUCUUCAUGAUAAAUGCGAGGGUUUAACUACCCAUUUUGCAAGGUCUGAUUCUAAUCUGGCUUGAGCCCUGGGUGAGCACGUUACAUUUUGGUUCAUGCGGCCAGAAACUGCACAGGGCAUAUUUGUUAACUUCAAAGACUUGUACUAUUACAAUGGGAACAAGCUUCCUUUUGUUGCUGCUCAAAUUGGCCAGGCUUUCAGAAAUGAGAAUCAAUCAUGGUUGGGUUCCCUUAUCAACACUAUAGUUGGAAAUUUGAAACUCUCAAUUUCAAAUAUUCAUAUCAGAUACGAGGACAGUGAAAGCAAUCCUGGUCACCCAUUUGCAGCAGGUGUGACCUUGGAGAAACUCUUAGCUUCCUUCUGAGUGGGUCCAGAUUGAUGUAGGCAUUGGAUCUUCAUCAUUUGCAAAAUCACAGGACCCGGAAUGACUCAUUGAUAGUGGAUGUUUGCCAGGUGAGUGGGAAUUAAAGUCUUCUUUCUUGAAAGCUAUAUUUCUUCUUUCCUUGAACCAUAAGCAUUUAUUUUUUCCUGUACUGGUACAAAAGUAUUUUCUUCUCUUACAAUGUUUAUAUGUUAAUGGUCAGGGUCAAUAUAAGUCGACACUGGUUUGCCCAGCAUGUGGAAAGAUUUCAAUCACUUUUGAUCCCUUCUUGUAUUUGUCGUUGCCGCUACCUUCAACUACAACUCGGCAAAUAACUGUGACUGUGUUUUACGGCGAUGGAAGUGGUCUUCCUAUGCUAUACACUGUUAGUUUGCUAAAGCAAGGUUGUUGUAAAGAUCUUAGUGAACAACUAAGUAAUGCUUGUUGCUUGUUGCUUGAAUGCUGAUGAGAUUCUUCUGCUUGCAGAGGUUUAUGAACAUAAGAUUUUUUGAUAUUUGGAAAACCCCUCAGAGAUAUUGGCUCCAAUUAAGGAGGAUGACCACUUAUAGACUUUCUAAAAACGUCGUGGGAAGAUCCAGAGUUGAAAUAAUUCAUCGACCACAUGAAAAGUAAGCUUGCAUCCCUAUCCUUAUGUAAUUGGUAAAUAGCACUGGUAAACAUGUGAUGUACAAACUGGUGUUGCCAAUCCAUCUAUUGAAAAAUAGCUUUAACUAAGUAAUUUCAGAAGGGGAUUAUAGUAUCAAUUAAAAUAAUUAUUGGCUAC